UUCAGUAACUGCGGUGGAUCCAUAGUGGUUCAUCUAGUAACAACGUAAUGUCACACAAAAGAACCAGGAGCAUAGUAGAAAGGGCCAUCGGUCAACUCAAACGCAGAUUUCCUGUUCUCCAUUGGGAAAUCAGGUUAAAACCUGAGAAGGCUUGUAGUAAAAAUUACGAUCAACAAAUGUUAAUUUGUGUGCACUAUUUAUUUGCCACACAAAUAAGUUCAACAGAACAAAAAUGGAACAAAGCUAAAUGACAAUAAAUAUAUAAAAUAACAAUUCCUAGAGAGGAAAGCAAUGAUUGAAAAAAGCAACAAGAUUUUAUUGAGUUACAUAAUUAUUUCAAAGAAUGGUUGUUUGAAUUUAUGUUAACAAAUGCCAUUGAGAAUAUGAAAAGAACAAUGCAGUGGCUCAUCAUCUAUUAAAGUUUGUACAUGGACAUGAACUUGUUCAGAUUGACUUGUAUCUAAAUCAAGUGAAUAUAUAGUGAAUAUAUAUACAGUUUUGUAUUUAAGGCAAUAACAGGGCAGUUGUAGAUUGGUAAUGACUAGGAGCAGAUAAGAGAAAAUUCAUAAAUAUUUGAAGUAUAGACUUGUUAAUGUGCAUGUGGAGAUGAUCAGGAAAUGAUGGGGUUGUAUGAACUUAUUCGUUAUUUACAGUAAUAUUUGUAUGUUCAACUGAGGCCAGGUAAAAGCCUAAAUGUUAAGUGAUAUGAUGUUAAUUUAUCAUUAAUGAUUUCAUAUUUUAGGUGAUAAUAGCAUGUGCUGUCCUACACAACAUAUGCAAGGACAGACAUAUCCCAGUUCCACCCACUGAUGGGCAUGAUGGACUUGGCAGGCUUGAUGGACAGAAUGGAGCUCAAGCAGUGACUGCUCCACCAGUAGCUGCACUCAGAUACCGGGAGCACUUUGCCAACACCAACUUUCAAUAGUUUCCACGGUUGGUGAAGUGAGGGACUCUGUGACAUCUGGCUCCUUGGAAUACAUGUUGGCUCCUUCUGGUUGAGGAUGUGGAUCUGACAUGGCGGUGUCAUAGAUCUCCCUGCAACAGAAU